UACGUAGGGGGCGAGCGUUGUCCGGAUUUAUUGGGCGUAAAGAGCUCGUAGGCGGCUUGGCAAGUCGGGUGUGAAACCUCCAGGCUCAACCUGGAGACGCCACUCGAUACUGCCAUGGCUAGAGUCCGGUAGGGGACCACGGAAUUCCUGGUGUAGUGGUGAAAUGCGCAGAUAUCAGGAGGAACACCGGUGGCGAAGGCGGUGGUCUGGGCCGGCACUGACGCUGAGGAGCGAAAGCGUGGGUAGCAAACAGG
rnacentral:rRNA from 1 species